UCAAAGAGGGAAAAUUUGAACUUGCCAGGGCAAAAUAUGAAAAUAUGUCUAAUGUGAUGUUGGAUAUGAUUACUUCAAGAAAAAUAAAGAGGAAUCUUAUGCAUUGGCUUUCUCAAACGUUCUCGCCAGCAAAAGGAAAUUACAAGGGAACAAGCAAUUCAAGAUCUGGAGGAAUUGGAGAGAAGAAGAGAAGAACUUGAACAAUUGUUGUUGGCAGAAAGGGUAUGAGAGAAUAUGGGUGAUUAAGUCAAAUGGAGAAAGGGACAUCAUGUCCUUGUUGUGUGCAGGUGUUUUCUCCCUGAGACAGGCAAGGAACCUGACAUCAAGAAUGGUUCAACUUAAAGAUGCUUCCUCGUACUCAUUCUCUUCCUCUUUAUAUUUUUCGAUACUUACUUCAAGUAGGAUACUAAGAAUUUCCUAUACUAUUCUUUCUGAUUGCUUAUAAAAUAGUUUGCUCAUUAGAUACUUCAUUUUCUCGUCUUUUAUUUGUGUAAAUCAUUUUUCUUUGUUUAGUGACAAUGAAUCUUUGAACAU